GACGGAGGAUACAAGCGUUAUCCGGAAUGAUUGGGCGUAAAGCGUCCGCAGGUGGCAGUUCAAGUCUGCUGUCAAAGACCGGGGCUUAACUUCGGAAAGGCAGUGGAAACUGAACAGCUAGAGUAUGGUAGGGGCAGAGGGAAUUCCUGGUGUAGCGGUGAAAUGCGUAGAUAUCAGGAAGAACAUCGGUGGCGAAGGCGCUCUGCUGGACCAUAACUGACACUCAGGGACGAAAGCUAGGGGAGCGAAUGGG
rnacentral:rRNA from 1 species